AACGAACGCUGGCGGCAUGCCUAACACAUGCAAGUCGAACGAAGGCUUCGGCCUUAGUGGCGCACGGGGGCGUAACGCGUGGGAAUCUGCCCUUUGGUUCGGAAUAACAGCUGGAAACGGCUGCUAAUACCGGAUGAUGGCGAAAGUCCAAAGAUUUAUCGCCAGAGGAUGAGCCCGCGUUGGAUUAGGUAGUUGGUGGGGUAAAGGCCUACCAAGCCGACGAUCCAUAGCUGGUCUGAGAGGAUGAUCAGCCACACUGGGACUGAGACACGGCCCAGACUCCUACGGGAGGCAGCAGUGGGGAGUAUUGGACAAGGGGCGCAAGCCUGGUCCAGCAAUGCCGGGUGAGUGAUGAAGGCCCUAGGGUUGUAAAGCCCUUUUACCCGGGAAGAUAAUGACUGUACCGGGAGAAUAAGCCCCGGCUAACUCCGUG
rnacentral:rRNA from 1 species